rnacentral:rRNA from 1 species
ACCAUGCUUCCAAGAAAAGCCUCUAAGCUUCAGUUACAAGGAGACCGUACCGCAAACCGACACAGGUGGGCAGGAUGAAAAUUCUAAGGCGCUUGAGAGAACUCAGGAGAAGGAACUCGGCAAAUUUGCACCGUAACUUCGGGAAAAGGUGCGCCCUGAUAGGUUGUAGCCCCUCGCGGGUGAAGGCUGAAAGGGUUGCAGUGAAAUGGUGGCUGCGACUGUUUAAUAAAAACACAGCACUCUGCAAACACGAAAGUGGACGUAUAGGGUGUGACGCCUGCCCGGUGCCGGAAGGUUAAGUGAUGGGGUGCAAGCUCUUGAUCGAAGCCCCGGUAAACGGCGGCCGUAACAAUAACGGUCCUAAGGUAGCGAAAUUCCUUGUCGGGUAAGUUCCGACCUGCACGAAUGGCGUAACGAUGGCCACACUGUCUCCUCCUGAGACUCAGCGAAGUUGAAGUGGUUGUGAAGAUGCAAUCUCCCCGCGGUUAGACGGAAAGACCCCAUGAACCUUUACUGUAGCUUUGCAUUGGACUUUGAACCGACUUGUGUAGGAUAGGUGGGAGGCUGUGAAGCCGGGACGCUAGUUCUGGUGGAGCCAACCUUGAAAUACCACCCUGGUUUGUUUGAGGUUCUAACCACGGCCCGUGAAUCCGGGUCUGGGACCGUGCAUGGUAGGCAGUUUGACUGGGGCGGUCUCCUCCUAAAGUGUAACGGAGGAGUACGAAGGUACGCUAGGUACGGUCGGACAUCGUGCUAAUAGUGCAAUGGCAAAAGCGUGCUUGACUGCGAGACCCACACGUCGAGCAGGUACGAAAGUAGGUCAUAGUGAUCCGGUGGUUCUGUAUGGAAGGGCCAUCGCUCAACGGAUAAAAGGUACUCUGGGGAUAACAGGCUAAUACCGCCCAAGAGUUCAUAUCGACGGCGGUGUUUGGCACCUCGAUGUCGGCUCAUCACAUCCUGGGGCUGUAGUCGGUCCCAAGGGUAUGGCUGUUCGCCAUUUAAAGUGGUACGUGAGCUGGGUUUAAAACGUCGUGAGACAGUUUGGUCCCUAUCUGCCGUGGGCGCUGGAAAUUUGAAGGGGGCUGCUCCUAGUACGAGAGGACCGGAGUGGACGAACCUCUGGUGUACCGGUUAUGACGCCAGUCGUAUUGCCGGGUAGCUAAGUUCGGAAGAGAUAAACGCUGAAAGCAUCUAAGCGUGAAACUCGCCUUAAGAUGAGAUUUCCCUGGGGACUUGAUCCCCCUGAAGGGUCGUGGUAGACCACCACGUUGAUAGGCUGGGUGUGGAAGCGCAGCAAUGCGUUAAGCUAACCAGUACUAAUUGCCCGUGAGGCUUGAUCCG